rnacentral:rRNA from 1 species
UACGAAGGGGGCUAGCGUUGCUCGGAAUCACUGGGCGUAAAGGGCGCGUAGGCGGCCAUUCAAGUCGGAGGUGAAAGCCCAGGGCUCAACCCUGGAAUUGCCUUCGAUACUGUUUGGCUAGAGUCCGGAAGAGGUAAGUGGAACUGCGAGUGUAGAGGUGAAAUUCGUAGAUAUUCGCAAGAACACCAGUGGCGAAGGCGGCUUACUGGUCCGGUUCUGACGCUGAGGCGCGAAAGCGUGGGGAGCAAACAGG